rnacentral:rRNA from 1 species
GACACGGACCAGACUCUACGGGAGGCAGCAGUAAGGAAUAUUGGUCAAUGGAGGGAACUUGAACCAGCCAUGCCGCGUGCAGGAAGACGGCCCUACGGGUUGUAAACUGCUUUUGCACGGGAAUAACCCUUUCUAUGUAUAGAGAGCUGAAUGUACCGUGAGAAUAAGGAUCGGCUAACUCCGUGCCAGCAGCCGCGGUAAUACGGAGGAUCCGAGCGUUAUCCGGAAUUAUUGGGUUUAAAGGGUGCGCAGGCGGGGAUCUAAGUCAGGGGUGAAAGACGGUGGCUCAACCAUCGCAGUGCCUUUGAUACUGGAUUUCUUGAAUGUACCUGAGGUAGGCGGAAUGUGGCAAGUAGCGGUGAAAUGCAUAGAUAUGCCACAGAACACCGAUUGCGAAGGCAGCUUACCAAAGUACGAUUGACGCUGAGGCACGAAAGCGUGGGGAUCGAACAGGAUUAGAUACCCUGGUAGUCCACGCCCUAAACGAUGAACACUCGAUGUCGGCGAUAGACAGUCGGCGUCCAAGCGAAAGCGUUAAGUGUUCCACCUGGGGAGUACGCCCGCAAGGGUGAAACUCAAAGGAAUUGACGGGGGCCCGCACAAGCGGAGGAGCAUGUGGUUUAAUUCGAUGAUACGCGAGGAACCUUACCCGGGCUUGAAAGUUACUGAAGAUAUCAGAGAUGAUAUCGUCCUUCGGGACAGGAAACUAGGUGCUGCAUGGCUGUCGUCAGCUCGUGCCGUGAGGUGUUGGGUUAAGUCCCGCAACGAGCGCAACCCCUGUGGAUAGUUGCCAGCACAUAAAGGUGGGGACUCUAUCCAGACUGCCUGUGCAAACAGAGAGGAAGGCGGGGACGACGUCAAGUCAUCAUGGCCCUUACGUCCGGGGCUACACACGUGCUACAAUGGGCGGUACAGAGGGCAGCCAACCUGCAAAGGUGCGCCAAUCCCUUAAAGCCGUUCACAGUUCGGAUCGGGGUCUGCAACUCGACCCCGUGAAGCUGGAUUCGCUAGUAAUCGCGUAUCAGCAAKACGCGGMUCAGG